rnacentral:rRNA from 1 species
AUUGAACGCUGGCGGCAUGCCUUACACAUGCAAGUCGAACGGCAGCACGGGUGCUUGCACCUGGUGGCGAGUGGCGAACGGGUGAGUAAUACAUCGGAACAUGUCCUGUAGUGGGGGAUAGCUCGGCGAAAGCCGGAUUAAUACCGCAUACGAUCUACGGAUGAAAGCGGGUGACCUUCCGCUCUCGCGCUAUAGGGUUGGCCGAUGGCUGAUUAGCUAGUUGGUGGGGUAAAGGCCUACCAAGGCGACGAUCAGUAGCUGGUCUGAGAGUACGACCAGCCACACUAGGACUGAAACACGGCCCAGAGUCCUACGGGAGGCAGCAGUGGGGAAUUUUGGACAAUGGGCGAAAGCCUGAUCCAGCAAUGCCGCGUGUGUGAAGAAGGCCUUCGGGUUGUAAAGCACUUUUGUCCGGAAAGAAAUCCUUGGCCCUAAUACGGUCGGGGGAUGACGGUACCGGAAGAAUAAGCACCGGCUAACUACGUG